AUUGAACGCUGGCGGCAGGCCUAACACAUGCAAGUCGAGCGAGUGGCGGACGGGUGAGUAAUGUCUGGGGAUCUGCCUGAUGGAGGGGGAUAACUACUGGAAACGGUAGCUAAUACCGCAUACCAUCGGAUGUACCCAUAUGGGAUUAGCUUGUUGGUGGGGUAACGGCUCACCAAGGCGACGAUCCCUAGCUGGUCUGAGAGGAUGAUCAGCCACACUGGAACUGAGACACGGCCCAGACUCCUACGGGAGGCAGCAGUGGGGAAUAUUGGACAAUGGGCGAAAGCCUGAUGCAGCCAUGCCGCGUGUGUGAAGAAGGCCUUCGGGUUGUAAAGUACUUUUAGCGGGGAGGCGGUACCCGCAGAAGAAGCACCGGCUAACUACGUACCAGCAGCCGCGGUAAUAC
rnacentral:rRNA from 1 species